GCCGUGCCCCAACCACCGCCGUCCGUCCCCCAGCCCGACGCCGCCCCAUCUCCUCGUCCCAUUCUCCAGCCUCGGGGUCCUUAGCUCCGGCGCCACCGUCCAGCCCCAGCGCCCCCUUCUCCAGCUCCGCCGUCCGUCCCUGUCUUCCCCUGCAUACCAAGUCCUGGUAUACAUCUCCGGCUGUGUUGCGUCUCUGGUGUCUGUCCCCUGCUCUUGAUGUCCUGAGAUGUGGCGCUUCCGUCGGCCGCCACCAACCAACCACCAUGUAGUACGCUGAGCCGCUGGACUGCACCAUUGGCCGUCGCCACCGCCCACCAGUGUGUCUAAUUUGGUGACAUCGCAAAGCACAGCAGAGCCGGAACUGAACCUGGAACCUGAAGCCCUUCUUCACACUUCAAAUACGGAGUCCUUUAUAGUCUUGUUCGAGCGAACUGAACUUGGUGUCGAAACCCGAAGCUUUCUCAGUAUACAGUUUGAUUUCUUUUGUGCAUUUUCUGGGAUAUGGAGCCGUGUAACUCGAGCCUUCUGAUCCAAGAGAAGAGACACUCAGGCUGGUCCAAACUCUGUUAAUCAUUUCAAGUCUUCGUUGUGUGCAUUGGAGAGUUCAAUUUGAUCCGGAGAGAGUAUUGUUCAUCCGUCGGGUUGCUUUUGCCCAGGUGCGAUACAGAAAGUAGAGAUCAGAACUGAAGUUGGUCCCUGGAAAGCUCUGAAUCCUGAGUGCCAUGGAAGAAGAACGGAAUGGGUUUGCAGCAAACUGAGACAAGCCUCCCCCUGUCCUCUGGAAAAACAGCCAACCUUCGUUUCAAAACAGAGAAAAGUUGAGGAGAAUAUCAUGAAGUUAGCAUCUGUAAUUCUAGACAGCUCGAGAAAACAGGAGGCGGGAAAAAAGACACCAACAAUGGGCCGAAUUACCAACGCGAUUUAAAAUGUUGUGAGAUACUCCUAUAUUGUGAGUAGUAUAUAGGAUUACCAAUAGUUUGAUUUUUU